rnacentral:rRNA from 1 species
GUGUCAGCAGCCGCGGUAAUACGAAGGGUGCAAACGUUGCUCGGAAUCAUUGGGCGUAAAGCGCACGUAGGCGGCUCCAAAAGUCGGAUGUGAAAUCCCUGGGCUCAACCGAGGAAGUGCAUCCGAAACUGCGGAGCUUGAGUAUGGAAGAGGGUCGCGGAAUUCCCGGUGUAGAGGUGAAAUUCGUAGAUAUCGGGAGGAACACCAGUGGCGAAGGCGGCGACCUGGGCCAAUACUGACGCUGAGGUGCGAAAGCGUGGGGAGCAAACAGGAUUAGAUACCCGCGUAGUCC